rnacentral:lncRNA from 1 species
UUCACUUCUGAUGCCACCCAGUUGAACAACACCGACUUUUUUUCUGAAGACAGUCUGAAUAUCGGAACGGGAACUUGUCCAUUGCUUUUAAUAUGUAACUCGCUUCUUGAGCAAAUAUCCGGCAAGUCCAACCUCGAUUUUAUGUUGUCUUUUGUCUUCCCUGGGAUAUUCAAUAUUGUAUUCAUGAUGUUCUCAAAGAAAUUCUUCUCUAUAUGCAUCACAUCGAGGUUGUGGCGCAUAAGAGGAUCCUUCCAAUACGGCAACUCCCAAAAUAUACUCUUCUUGUGCCAGUUGUGAUGAACACCGUAAGAAUCAGGCAUAUUACGAGGGACAUGCCAAUUACCACCCCA